rnacentral:rRNA from 1 species
GUGUCAGCCGCCGCGGUAAGACAGAGGUUGCAAACGUUGUUCGGAAUUACUGGGCAUAAAGCGCACGUAGGCGGUCCGUUAAGUCAUGUGUGAAAUCCCCCGGCUCAACCGGGGAAUUGCGCCUGAUACUGGCGGGCUAGAGGUCGAUAGGGGUGAGCGGAACUCCAGGUGGAGCGGUGAAAUGCGUAGAUAUCUGGAGGAACACCGGUGGCGAAAGCGGCUCACUGGAUCGAAACUGACGCUGAGGUGCGAAAGCUAGGGUAGCAAACGGGAUUAGAAACCCCCGUAGUCC